GCAGACUCACUCUGCACCCAGCUGCAGCCCCAGGCAGGUGCUUUUUCAGUCUGCUAAAGAAACAUUCCAGGGUGCUGUGGCUGCCUGAAUCUGUCAGGGGCAAUGCAGCUGCCUGGGGACACGGUG
rnacentral:snoRNA from 1 species